rnacentral:lncRNA from 1 species
AUUUUAUAUUACUUGAUAAGGGGGUAGGAUAGAGAAGAAAAUAAGAUAUUUACUUAAUAUAUGUACCAACAAACAUAUUCAAAACAAAAUAGGGAGGAAAUACUCAUGACAGUUACAGAUUUCAUUUCCGUAACUACAGUGGUCUCAUGGUUGGAGCUGAUUCUUAGAACUACUACCUUCUUUCACUACUAUUCUGUAUUCCCUUUGUCUUUAGCAAGCACCUUGGCUGGCCAUGUUUCUUUAUGCAGUGGGGUGACCCAGACCUUCAUUCUCAGAGUCUGGGCCAUAAGUAGUCCUGCCUGAAUUGGAUUGCUGUAGAUUUUCAUUGACUUUAAUCACAGAGCAUGGUAAUACUGAUAUAGGGGGAAGAGAUAUAACUCCCAAACCUGCUAGAUAUCUGAAAUGCGAGUUCAUGUUCUCUAAAAUCAAAGAAUGAAUUCUAGAAACAAUGGAGGUUAAGAGUAGGAAAAUUUUAUUGGGAGAAAGAAAGCUUCUGCCUAGGAGAGACAGAAGGGGGACCGGAAAGUGAGUUGCCCACUCACCCCACUUUUCAAAGAUGUUUUAUACAGCAAAGCCAUGUGGUGAGGCGGGUACAAAGUGGGACAAAACUAUAAGACCCAAUGGAAAUUUACAAGGUGGGCAUGAGGUGAGACAAAACCAUGACCAACCAAUAAGAUUACAAGUACAGUCACCCAGGUAAUAUUGAUUAAAUGGGGAUCAAAUUGGGGAGCAAGUCACGUAGCAAGUAUACAAGGAUUUUUCAUUAAGGGUGCGCAUCAGGGAUAUUUCCUAGAAAGUCUGGGUUAAGACCUUGGCCCCCCACCCAGGUGAUCAAUAUGUAUUUAGAAUAUCAAUCACUGCUAUUCAUCCUACAUGGGGUGGUGGUUUCUCUUUUACAAUUUUGGCCUUCAGUGAAUGUGUCUUCACUGUCCUCCAUGUUGGCACCUUGACUCUCCUCCCUGUUAGCUCCUUCACUGUCCUCCCUGUUGGCUCCUUGAUUGUCCUCCAUGUUGGCUCCUCGUGGGCUGGCCCUGUCUAACUGCCUACAAGAUAUCUAAUUAAUUUACCUAUCUGCAAUAAUAUCACAAUAUCCUCUUAGUAUUUCCAAGUUAAAGAAUGACAUUUGAGCUGUCCCAGUCAUUUCCUAUGUAAGAAC